GAUGAACGCUAGCGGCAGGCUUAAUACAUGCAAGUCGAGGGGUAACAGGUCUGUAGCAAUACAGAUGCUGACGACCGGCAAACGGGUGCGGAACACGUACAGAACCUUCCUUCGAGUGGGAGAUAGCCCAGGGAAACUUGGAGUAAUAUCCCAUAGGAUCAUAGAGUGGCAUCACUUAGUGAUUAAAGAUUUAUCGCUUGAAGAUGGCUGUGCGGCUGAUUAGGUAGUUGGUGUAGGUAACGGCUCACCAAGCCUUCGAUCAGUAACUGGUGUGAGAGCACGACCAGUCACACGGGCACUGAGACACGGGCCCGACUCCUACGGGAGGCAGCAGUAAGGAGUAUUGGGCAAUGGAGGCAACUCUGACCCAGCCAUGCCGCGUGGAGGAUGAAGGUCCUCUGGAUUGUAAACUUCUUUUAUUUGGGAAGAAAUGCCGAUUUUCUAAUUGGUUUGACGGUACCAGAUGAAUAAGCACCGGCUAACUCCGUGCCAGCAGCCGCCGUAAUAC
rnacentral:rRNA from 1 species